UCCCCAAAUGAUCUUGUGCCUUCCAUCCAACCUUAAACACCUAUGGACAGCCUGGCCCAGCCCUAAAUCUAGCCAGAGGAGUUGCACACCAGCCCUCUGCCAUUUAGAGCUGCCUUAACCCACCCUGGACUUUUGAAAGCCAAAAGUCCUAGCCAGAGAAAGGGCCAACUGAAUAGGGACUGAGUUUCCAGGAUAAAUGAUUCAAUGUGCAGAAGUUCCUAGAGAUGCUUGCUCUCUCAGGGAACUUGUGGCAAAUGGGGGGUUUCAAACCUCUCAUUUAGAGCCCUGUGAUUGUAGUGAGGUCAGCCCUGCCAAGUGCCUGCCACCCAGACAUGCUCUCCCUGGGACUUUAGGUAGGUCAUGACCAAUCAUGAGCCCUAGAGCUUAAAAGAUCCUUUAGCUCUUGCCUAAUGUGGUCACCCCUGUCUGUACAGGAAGUCCUACUCACAAAUGUUCGCAAGGCAAUUUCAAAAACACCUGUCAACCAAAGCUUACGUAGACCCUCUUCUCUAUAUGUUAGAAGAAUAUAUGAUGUUCUUUCUAUUCCAGGACGUAUAACAUUGGAAAGAAGCAAUUUACUCAUCUAGACUUGGAGAGUCUGGCUCAACAUCAAAUUAAAAUCAUGCUGGUGUUCACGUGAGGGUGCUUUUGUGCAAAGCUGGAGAAGCACGGGAUGUGAAGGGCCUUGCUGGAGGCAGAGCUCUGCAGAUGAACCAGAAGACCGCACCCGAACCCCCGUUCAGCUGCGAGGCAUAAACGCCUUCCCCUGGUUAGGAGCUGAUGCCUCACUGUGAGCUUGGAUGGCAAGUUCAUAGAGGCCAUCCACACGAAUGGGUUUAAUGGGAUUUCUUUAUCAAUUGUUUAAAGAGAGUCUUUAGCGUCCCUCAAUACCCUUUCCAGGAGGAUACACAGAAUAAAUUCCUGCUUGACUUUUAGAUCCCAGAUAAAACUACUCCCGCAGAAGAAUUAGAAUUUCUUUGUCAUAUUGGACAAUAAAAAUUAUGUAACUUACU
rnacentral:lncRNA from 10 species